rnacentral:rRNA from 1 species
GACGAACGCUGGCGGCGUGCUUAACACAUGCGAGUCGAACGGAAAGGCCCCCAUCUUGGUGGGGGUGCUCGAGUGGCGAACGGGUGAGUAACACGUGGGUGAUCUGCCCUGUACUUCGGGAUAAGCUUGGGAAACUGGGUCUAAUACCGGAUAGGACCAUGGUUUAGUGUCUCAUGGUGGAAAGACUAUUGUUUUGGUGCAGGAUGAGCUCGCGGCCUAUCAGCUUGUUGGUGGGGUAAUGGCCUACCAAGGCGUCGACGGGUAGCCGGCCUGAGAGGGUGGACGGCCACAGUGGGGUGGAGUACCGACCCGGCCCCCUACGGGAGGCAGGGGGGGGGAAUGUGGAAAAAGGGGCGCAGGCCGGAGGCGCCGCCGCCGGGGGGGGGAGGCCGGCUUUGGGGUUGUAACCUCUUUUCGUUAGGGACGAAGCCCCGUUUUUUGGGGGGGGUGACGGUACUUUGGUAAAGAAGCCCCGGCUAACUACGUG